rnacentral:misc_RNA from 1 species
CAGAGUUCAUGCCCUCACGGGUAGAUCUCCCACCCUUGAAUAUAUUACCUUUGUUGCUUUGGUGGGCCGCUUCGUCCACUGGCUUCGGCUAGUGAGUGCCCGCCAGAGGACCCAAAACUCUGUUUUAUAGUGUCGUCUGAGUACUAUAUAAUAGUUA